rnacentral:rRNA from 1 species
AAGCUGCGGCAGCGACGCUUAUGCGUUGUUGGGUAGGGGAGCGUUCUGUAAGCCUGUGAAGGUGUGCUGUGAGGCAUGCUGGAGGUAUCAGAAGUGCGAAUGCUGACAUAAGUAACGAUAAAGCGGGUGAAAAGCCCGCUCGCCGGAAGACCAAGGGUUCCUGUCCAACGUUAAUCGGGGCAGGGUGAGUCGACCCCUAAGGCGAGGCCGAAAGGCGUAGUCGAUGGGAAACAGGUUAAUAUUCCUGUACUUGGUGUUACUGCGAAGGGGGGACGGAGAAGGCUAUGUUGGCCGGGCGACGGUUGUCCCGGUUUAAGCGUGUAGGCUGGUUUUCCAGGCAAAUCCGGAAAAUCAAGGCUGAGGCGUGAUGACGAGGCACUACGGUGCUGAAGCAACAAAUGCCCUGCUUCCAGGAAAAGCCUCUAAGCAUCAGGUAACAUCAAAUCGUACCCCAAACCGACACAGGUGGUCAGGUAGAGAAUACCAAGGCGCUUGAGAGAACUCGGGUGAAGGAACUAGGCAAAAUGGUGCCGUAACUUCGGGAGAAGGCACGCUGAUAUGUAGGUGAAGUCCCUCGCGGAUGGAGCUGAAAUCAGUCGAAGAUACCAGCUGGCUGCAACUGUUUAUUAAAAACACAGCACUGUGCAAACACGAAAGUGGACGUAUACGGUGUGACGCCUGCCCGGUGCCGGAAGGUUAAUUGAUGGGGUCAGCGCAAGCGAAGCUCUUGAUCGAAGCCCCGGUAAACGGCGGCCGUAACUAUAACGGUCCUAAGGUAGCGAAAUUCCUUGUCGGGUAAGUUCCGACCUGCACGAAUGGCGUAAUGAUGGCCAGGCUGUCUCCACCCGAGACUCAGUGAAAUUGAACUCGCUGUGAAGAUGCAGUGUACCCGCGGCAAGACGGAAAGACCCCGUGAACCUUUACUAUAGCUUGACACUGAACAUUGAGCCUUGAUGUGUAGGAUAGGUGGGAGGCUUAGAAGUGUGGACGCCAGUCUGCAUGGAGCCGACCUUGAAAUACCACCCUUUAAUGUUUGAUGUUCUAACGUUGACCCGUAAUCCGGGUUGCGGACAGUGUCUGGUGGGUAGUUUGACUGGGGCGGUCUCCUCCUAAAGAGUAACGGAGGAGCACGAAGGUUGGCUAAUCCUGGUCGGACAUCAGGAGGUUAGUGCAAUGGCAUAAGCCAGCUUGACUGCGAGCGUGACGGCGCGAGCAGGUGCGAAAGCAGGUCAUAGUGAUCCGGUGGUUCUGAAUGGAAGGGCCAUCGCUCAACGGAUAAAAGGUACUCCGGGGAUAACAGGCUGAUACCGCCCAAGAGUUCAUAUCGACGGCGGUGUUUGGCACCUCGAUGUCGGCUCAUCACAUCCUGGGGCUGAAGUAGGUCCCAAGGGUAUGGCUGUUCGCCAUUUAAAGUGGUACGCGAGCUGGGUUUAGAACGUCGUGAGACAGUUCGGUCCCUAUCUGCCGUGGGCGCUGGAGAACUGAGGGGGGCUGCUCCUAGUACGAGAGGACCGGAGUGGACGCAUCACUGGUGUUCGGGUUGUCAUGCCAAUGGCACUGCCCGGUAGCUAAAUGCGGAAGAGAUAAGUGCUGAAAGCAUCUAAGCACGAAACUUGCC